CGGUAUGUAGGAAACGUCAAAUCGAAAAAAUAAUGAAACUUGUGAGGUUUUUAAUUGGCCACAUAUGGAGCAGGAUCUGCUUACCCUUCCGGUGCACCAGAUAUCAUCCCUGUUUUUUUUAUGAGUUUCGUAUUGCUCAGUCUUCGGUUUUCUGUGUUGUGUUUUGUAUACUGCUGUUUAUAAAAAAAAAUAUGACAUGAUUACCAAUCAUUCAACUCUCCACAAGAGACCACCAAAUGAGACCGUAACAAACAGCUAUAAUAUAUCAUCGUACAGCCUUCAACAAUGAGUAAGGCCCAUACCGAAUAGUCAGCUAUGAAAGGCCCUGAAAUCACAUAAUAUAAAACAAUUCAAACGAGAAAAUGAACGGCCC
rnacentral:lncRNA from 1 species